GUCUAUAGCUAUGCUACCCUGAACAAGCCCAAUCCCGUCUAAUCUCGGAAGCUAAGCAGGGUCGGGCCUGGUUAGUACUUGGAUGGGAGACCACCUAGGAAGACCAGGUGCUGUAGGCA
rfam:Pteropus alecto contig89239, whole genome shotgun sequence.